rnacentral:rRNA from 1 species
AUGAGCCCGCCGAGUGUGAUGGGGCAGUUCGGGGACACGACCUACACCAAGGUGUUCGUGGGCGGGCUGGCGUGGGAGACCCAGAAGGAGACCAUGAGGAAGUACUUCGAGCAGUUCGGGGAGAUCCUCGAGGCCGUCGUCAUCACCGACAAGAACACGGGCAGAUCCAAGGGCUAUGGAUUUGUUACCUUCCGGGACCCGGAUGCGGCGAUGAGGUCCUGCGUCGACCCCGCGCCGGUGAUCGACGGGAGGAGGGCCAACUGCAACCUGGCUUCCCUUGGGGUGCAGAGAUCCAGGCCUCCAACCCCACAGCACGGGGGCGCUAGGAGCUUUCGAGUGAUGAAGUCCUUUGGGCAGCAGCAGGCUGCGGGGAUCCAAGGUGCGCUGGGCGCAGCUUUUCCUUCGCAGGCCACCUUCCCUCAUUAUGCCAUCCCACAAGGCCUCCCUUACCAUGUCUAUGGGUACUCUCCUUAUUCACCAGACUACGGUUAUCCCGCAAACUACUACAACAUCUAUGGAGGAAACCAGUACCCGUUUUACGGAGGAGCAGGAACUGGCAUGGUGACUGGAACCAGUCCCUUCUAUCCAUAUUUCCAGUUUGGCCAGUCCGGAAGCACUACACCCAACUAUGCAACUGGACAGGGCUACAACAUGCAAUUCCCACAGAUGUUCCCCUUCUCAACUGUGGCUUCUACAGCUGCUGCUGUAACUGGCUUUGCACAGCAAUACGGAGGGCCAUUGUCACUUGCAGCGAGUCCUCAAGCCCAAGCAGGCAUGACUAUGGCUCUCACAGCACCAACCUUGCCAAGUCCAACUCAGGCUGCUCAUCCUUACCGGCUCGUCCCCUCGCACUUUGCUGUGUCUGCUGCUCCAGAGCAAUCCUUGGCCUAA